ACGGGGAGCACUACGAACGGUGGAGCCUGCGGUUUAAUUGGAUUCAACGCCGGAAAUCUCACCGGGGCGACAGCAAUAUGAAGGUCAGGCUGAAGACCUUACCCGAUUAGCUGAGAGGUGGUGCAUGGCCGUCGUCAGUUCGUACUGUGAAGCAUCCUGUUAAGUCAGGCAACGAGCGAGACCCACGUCCACAGUUGCCAGCAUACCCUCCGGGGUGAUGGGUACACUGUGGAGACCGCCGCUGCUAAAGCGGAGGAAGGAGUGGGCAACGGUAGGUCAGUAUGCCCCGAAUCUCCCGGGCUACACGCGGGCUACAAUGGUUGGUACAAUGGGCAUCUACCCCGAAAGGGGAAGGAAAUCUCUUAAAGCCAAUCGUAGUUCGGAUUGAGGGCUGCAACUCGCCCUCAUGAAGCUGGAAUCCGUAGUAAUCGCGUUUCAACAGAACGCGGUGAAUACGUCCCUGCUCCUU
rnacentral:rRNA from 1 species